rnacentral:lncRNA from 1 species
UUCCAGCUGGUUUUGAGGAAGUGAGCUGCCAUGUACUAGGCCACGUGGCAAGGGCCUGGUUGGGGACCUCCAGGGGUUGAGAGCAUCCUCUGGACAACAUGGAAAAAGAAAAUGAAAAUGGUGACCUCAGCCCUAUAGCUAGAAGGAAUUGAAUCCUGUCAACAACGAUUGGGUUCUCGGUCUCGCUGACUUCAAGAAUGAAGCCGCAGACCCUCACGCUAUAGUUAAAAUACAUAGGGAAGGGCUUCAAGAUGGCUGACUAAAGGCACCUAGCACUCGCCUCCUCUGGAAAAAAGGACCAAAACACAACAGGCUAUUGGGUUUGGAGUGAAUUCUCAGAAACAUCACUACUGACAUAACUCCAUAAAGAAUUCAUAAUUUCUACUCACAUGUUUUACCCACAUCAAUAACAGAAUCUCAGGAAAACCAAAGUGGAGUUUACAAUGUUCAUUUUGACACUGUGCAUUAGACUUCUCGACUUCAAGCUACAAAAACCAGCACAGAACCUGGAAAAAUUUUACCUCCUGGCAUUUUUGUUUCUCUACCCUGAUGCUUGUUGUUGAGUUUUACCCAUGCUUUGACCAUCAGCAAAUUGAAGA